rnacentral:rRNA from 1 species
GGCAGGCUUAACACAUGCAAGUCGAGGGGUAUAGAGAGCUUGCUUUCUAGAGACCGGCGCACGGGUGCGUAACGCGUAUGCAAUCUACCUUUUACAGAGGGAUAGCCCAGAGAAAUUUGGAUUAAUACCUCAUAGCAUAGCAGCUUCGCAUGAAGCCACUAUUAAGGUCACAACGGUAAAAGAUGAGCAUGCGUCCCAUUAGUUAGUUGGUAAGGUAACGGCUUACCAAGACUACGAUGGGUAGGGGUCCUGAGAGGGAGAUCCCCCACACUGGUACUGAGACACGGACCAGACUCCUACGGGAGGCAGCAGUGAGGAAUAUUGGACAAUGGGCGCAAGCCUGAUCCAGCCAUGCCGCGUGCAGGAUGACGGUCCUAUGGAUUGUAAACUGCUUUUAUACGAGAAGAAACACUCCUUCGUGAAGGAGCUUGACGGUAUCGUAAGAAUAAGGAUCGGCUAACUCCGUGCCAGCAGCCGCGGUAAUACGGAGGAUCCAAGCGUUAUCCGGAAUCAUUGGGUUUAAAGGGUCCGUAGGCGGUUUAGUAAGUCAGUGGUGAAAGCCCAUCGCUCAACGGUGGAACGGCCAUUGAUACUGCUAAACUUGAAUUAUUAGGAAGUAACUAGAAUAUGUAGUGUAGCGGUGAAAUGCUUAGAGAUUACAUGGAAUACCAAUUGCGAAGGCAGGUUACUACUAAUGGAUUGACGCUGAUGGACGAAAGCGUGGGUAGCGAACAGGAUUAGAUACCCUGGUAGUCCACGCCGUAAACGAUGGAUACUAGCUGUUGGGAGCAAUCUCAGUGGCUAAGCGAAAGUGAUAAGUAUCCCACCUGGGGAGUACGUUCGCAAGAAUGAAACUCAAAGGAAUUGACGG